AGAAGCUGGGACUACAGGCGCGUGCCACCACACCCGACUAAUUUUUGUAUUUUUAGUAAUGAUGAGGUUUCACCAUGUUGGCCAGGCUGGUUUCCAACUGCUGACCUCAGGUGAUCCACCCACCUCGGCCUCCCAAAGUGCUGGGAUUACAGGUGUGAGCCACUGUGCCCAGCAGGAAAAGCAAGUUUUGAUAGAGGAAAUGAUGACUUCAGUUUUGCUACCCUUUAGUCCACUCAGGCAUCUCAAUCCUAUGGAUAUGUAUGCAGUUAUUAAAAAGAAUGAGUUACAUCUUUUUGUAAUGAUCUCUGAGACAUGUUUUUAAGCAAAAAGGUGAGUCAACAAACCAUAUAUGUAAUGUAAUCCAAUUUAUAUUUAAAAAUUAAAUAUUAGGCUGGGUGUGGUGGCUCAUACCUGUAAUCCCAGCACUUUGGGAGGCUGAGGUGGGUGGAUCACUUGAGGUCAAGAGUUCGAGACCAGCCUGGCUAACAUGAUGAAACCUCGUCUCUACUAAAAAUACAAAAAAUUAGCUGGGCAUGGUGUCGCACAUCUAUAAUCCCAGCUACUCGGGGGGCUGAGGCAGGAGAAUCGAUUGAACCCUGGAGGCGGAGGUUGCAGUGAGCUGAGAUCACACCACUGCACUCCAGCCUGGGCAACAGAGCAAGACUCCAUCUCAAAAAAAAAAAAAAUAUUACAUGUUAGGCUGGGCGUGGUAGAGGGGCUGAGAUGGGAGGAUUGCUUGAGCUCAGGAGUUUGAGACCAGUCUGGGCAACAUAGGGAGACCUUGUCUCUACUUAAAAAAAAAAAAAAAGAAAGAAAGAAAGAAAGAAAGAAAAUGCCUGUAGUCCUAGCUAAUCAGGAGGCUCAGGUGGGAGGAUCGUUUGAGUCUGGGAGGUCGAGGCUGCAGUGAGCCAUAAUCAUGCCACUGCACUCCAGCCUGGACAACAGAGCAAGACCCUAUCUCAAAAAUAAUAAAAUUUAAAUGUUGUAUAGAGAUGUAUGUAAAUACAUAGAAAAAAACUGGAAGAAUACAUUUAAAUAGUUAAUAGUGUUCAACAAUUUUUUACCAGGCACCUACUAUUGGUAGGUGAGAAUAUAUUGGUGAAUAAAAACCCAUUGAUCUUGCCCUCAUGGAUCAUAUGUGGUCAAGAUCAGCCUUUCUCAACUGGAGUUCUGAGAGAUUUGUUUUUUUUGAGACAAAGUCUUGAUCUGUUGCCCAGGCUGGAGUGCAGUGGUGCAAUCAUAGCUCACUGUAACCUCAAACUCCUAGGCUCAUGCCAUCCUCCCACCUUAGCCUCCCAAGUAGCUAGGAAUACAGGUGCCACCAUGCCUGGCUAAUUAAAGAAAUUUUGUAGAGACGAAGUCUCACUAUGUUGUCUAGGCUGGUCUCAAACUCCUGGCCUCAAGUGAUCUUCUCACCUUAGUCUCCCAAAGUGCUGGGAUUACAGGUGUGAGCCACUGGGCCUGGCCAGAUUUUUAUUAUCAACCAAAUAAUCAUAUAAACUAUAAAUAUGAAAGUAUGACUAUGAUAAGUACUUAAGAAGGAGAGGUACGGCCAGGCAUGGUGGCUCACGCCUGUAAUCCCGGCACUUUGGGAGGCCGAGGUGGGUGGAUCACGAGGUCAGAUCGAGACUAUCCUGGCUAACACUUACAGUGAAACCCCAUCUCUACUAAAAAUACAAAAAAUUAGCCAGGCGUGGUGGCGGGCACCUGUAGUCCCAGCUACUUGGGAGGCUGAGGCAGGAGAAUGGCAUGAACCCGGGAGGCGGGGCUUGCGGUGAGCCGAGAUGGCACCACUGCCCUCCAGCCUGGGCGACAGAGUGAGACUCUGUCUCAAAAAGAAAAAAAAAAGAAAAAAAAAAAGAAGAAGAAGAAGCGGUACAUGGUACAACAAGAAUGUAUAUUAGUGCUAUUGGACUUAAUAAAGAAGGCCAGGGGAGGGUCCCUAAGAAAGUGACGCUUGAGUUGAGAUUUGGAGGAUAAGUAGAAGUUAAGUAAAGGCAGUAGGGCUGGGUAAACAGCAGUGUAAAGACCUAGAAGCAGAAGGGAAUAUGCCAGAUAUGAGGGGACCACAGAAGCCCUGUGCUGGAGCAUGGGGAUCAAAGGGCAGCAUAGCACAAGAUGAAGCUGAAGAAGUACGUAGGGGCUGAGUCUCAGAACUUUUCAAGUCCAUGGUAGAGGUUUUUUUCUUUAUCCUAAGACUAGUGGGAAGCUAUUGAAGAUUUUUAAGCAGGGAGUGUUACAUUCAUUUUUGCACUUUUAAAAGGUCCCUUCAGGCUAGGUGCGGUGGCUCACACCUGUAAUCCCAGCACUUUGGGAGGCCAAGGCAGGUGGAUCACCUGAGGUCAGGAGUUCGAGACCAGCCUGACCAACAUGGUGAAGCCCCCUCUCUACUAAAUACAAAAAUAAUUAAUGGGGUAUGGUGGCACAUGCCUGUAAUCCCAGCUCCUUGGGAGGCUGAGGCAGGAGAAUCCCUUGAUCCCGGGAGGUGGAGGUUGCAGUGAGCCAAGAUUGCACUAUUGCAUUCCAGCCUGGGCAACAGAGCCAGACUGUCUCAAAACAAAACAAAAUGAAAAGAUCCCUUCAGCACCUAUGUGAAGAAUUACUUGGAAGACUCAGGGUGAUCAGUUACUAUGUCUUUUCAGUAGCCCAAGAGAGAAUUAAUGAUGGGUUGUAGUAGGAUAAUGGCAGUGAUAGACAAGUGGGCAGAUUCUAGAGAUAGUUAAUAGGUAAAAUCAAUACAACUUGGUUAUAGAUUUAGAUAUGGAGAGGAUGAAGAAUCAAUGAGGUGCUUGGUGGAAGUCUUUGAAGGCCAGGCUAAAUUUUUUAUGGCUUUGAUAAUGAGAAAUUGCAGUACAUGUUUGAGUAAGGGGAGACUAUGCAAAGUUAGAGCUUUACAAAGGUCAUGCACAGUUUGAGCUUAACAAAGAUCACUCUGUUAGCAGCAUGGGGAAUACAUUGGAGGUGAAUUAGACUGUAGGAUGUUGCAAUGGUCCCAGUGACAUGAUUAAGGCUAAACUAAACCAAAGCAUUCCCAAUGGGAACAGAGAGGGGUUGAGAAGAUAAAAUAUCGAUUGGAGGAUGACAGAAUAGAUAAGAGAGCAUUGAAAGCUGUAUGGUUUGGAGACAAAGGAAGGAGAGUGAAGAGGACCAAGAACACUCUCUUCUUUUUUUCUGCAAGAUUGUGGCUCACUCCCAUGACACCAACCUCAAUCAGCAGUUCAGCUCUCACCUGUCUCUGGGGCAGCACCGUGCCCUGCUGUGGUAGAAGAAGCCUUGGGAGCUAGCAUGGUCCUGUUGCUGCCAUUGACAGUUCCUGUCCAGUGGCAAGUUCGAGAUCAUCAGGAAGGACCAUGGUUCCCAGAGCUUCAGAUCUAGCCCAGGCUUCCCUAGAGAUAUUCUUUUAUCUCCUCCCCAUCUCCCUAUUCCUUUGUUGACUCACCUGCAUCUCCAGGCAGGUCCACAGUCACAGGGAGGGACCAGGAUCCCCAGGAGCCACCGAGGGAGAUCCCAUCAGGUUCGCUGCGCAGCUGCAGCCAGUAGGAGUUGCCAGGCUGGAGUCCUGAGAUGAGGCAGCUUCCACCCUCUGCUGUCAGAGCUGAAGCCUUGGGAGGAAAAUCCCAGCUUCACAAUCUAGGUCUGCCUGUCAGCUGAGAGAGCCUCCAACCCUUAUAUUUGCACAGCAUCUCUGUGGAGAGGAGCUCAGCUCCUUGCUGGAUAGAUAUGCACACAGACCAGGGGCUAAGUUGGUGGGUUUCAGGUGGUGUUCAGGGUUUUGUUGCGAAAUCUCCAUUAAUUUGGAGGCCUGAAAGCCUUUGCUUUUGUCAGUGGGAAUGACCCAAAGUAGGAAGCCCCUAAGUAGGCGUGGCUCAUAUCUGAGCCUAUACUAACUCUCCAAGGACGAACCUAGGUCUGGAAUCCCCAAAGUAUGGUCUGUCCUUUCCUGGGGCAAGAUUGAAGGUAGGAGAUAAGAGGUGGGGCAGAAGAAGGUCAGCAUACUUCUCUACUUGGGGAGGUCUGCUUUGGUCCAUCUUGCCAGGGCAUUGUGGGCUGAGCACAUGGAGAC
rnacentral:lncRNA from 10 species